CCUCAUACUGUUAGACAGACACCAGCUUUCCAUCCAAACAAUCCAGUAGAAAUGAUUCUGUGGAUACAUUUCAUAUUUAGUGUCUUCAUUUUCAAAGGUGUCCAUGCAGAUUCUCUGGUGGAAUCUGGUGGGGAUGUGAAAAGACCUGGAGAGUCCCUCCGACUCACAUGUACAACAUCAGGAUUCAACAUAGACAGCUACUGGAUGCACUGGGUCCAUCAAGCUCCUGGAAAGGGACUCAAAUGGCUCUCAGCAAUUAAUCGGGCCAGCACAGCUUAUGCAGAUUCUGCUAAAGGGCGGUUCACAAUCUCCACAGACGGUUCCAAGAAGCUGAUCUUUCUACAUAUGACUGGUCUGAAAGCUGAAGAUACCGGCAUGUAUUAUUGUGCCAGGGAACACAGUGGUGGAAAGCUAAUCUGA